AAUGAACGUUGGCGGCGUGGAUUAGGCAUGCAAGUCGAGCGAGAACCCCGCAAGGGGGGACCGCGGCGAAAGGGACAGUAAUGUGUAGAUUAUCUGCCCUCAGGUCCGGGAUAGCUGCGGGAAACUGCAGGUAAUACCGGAUAACAUCUCCGGAUCAAAGGUGUGAUUCCGCCUGAGGAUGAGUCUGCAUCCUAUUAGCUAGUUGGUGGGGUAAUGGCCUACCAAGGCAUUGAUGGGUAGCAGGUGUGAGAGCACGACCUGCGUCAUUGGGACUGAGACACUGCCCAGACACCUACGGGUGGCUGCAGGCGAGAAUCUUCGGCAAUGGGCGCAAGCCUGACCGAGCGACGCCGCGUGUGGGAUGAAGGCCUUCGGGUUGUAAACCACUGUCAGAGGGGAUGAAAUGCAGGUGGGUGCUCCCAUCUGUUUGACAUAGCCUCAGAGGAAGGACGGGCUAAGUUCGUG
rnacentral:rRNA from 1 species